AUAGCGUAUAUUUAAGUUGUUGCCGUUAAAAAGCUCGUAGUUGGAUUUCGGGCGGGCCCGGCCGGUCCGCCUCACGGUGUGCACUGACCGGGCCCGUCCUGCUGCCGGGGACGGGCUCCUGGGCUUCACUGUCCGGGACUCGGAGUCGGCGAGGUUACUUUGAGUAAAUUAGAGUGUUCAAAGCAGGCAUCCGCCUUGAAUACGUUAGCAUGGAAUAACACGAUAGGACUCUGGCCUAUCUUGUUGGUCUGUGGGACCGGAGUAAUGAUUAAGAGGGACAGUCGGGGGCAUUCGUAUUUCAUUGUCAGAGGUGAAAUUCUUGGAUUUAUGAAAGACGAACUACUG
rnacentral:rRNA from 1 species